rnacentral:rRNA from 1 species
UACGUAGGGUGCAAGCGUUAAUCGGAAUUACUGGGCGUAAAGCGUGCGCAGGCGGUAAUGCAAGACAGAUGUGAAAUCCCCGGGCUCAACCUGGGAACUGCAUUUGUGACUGCAUUGCUGGAGUGCGGCAGAGGGGAUGGAAUUCCGCGUGUAGCAGUGAAAUGCGUAGAUAUGCGGAGGAACACCGAUGGCGAAGGCAAUCCCCUGGGCCUGCACUGACGCUCAUGCACGAAGCGU